CAGUAGGGAAUCUUCCGCAAUGGACGAAAGUCUGACGGAGCAACGCCGCGUGAGCGAUGAAGGCCUUCGGGUCGUAAAGCUCUGUUUAUAGGGAAGAACAAGUAUCGGAGUACCUGCCGGUACCUUGACGGUACCUAACCAGAAAGCCACGGCUAACUACGUGCCAGCAGCCGCGGUAA
rnacentral:rRNA from 1 species